rnacentral:rRNA from 1 species
ACUCCUACGGGAGGCAGCAGUGGGGAAUAUUGCACAAUGGGCGCAAGCCUGAUGCAGCCAUGCCGCGUGUAUGAAGAAGGCCUUCGGGUUGUAAAGUACUUUCAGCAGUGAGGAAGGUGGGUAUGUUAAUAGCAUAUUCAUUUGACGUUUAGCUGCAGAGAAGCACCGGCUAACUCCGUGCCAGCAGCCGCGGUAAUACGGAGGGUGCGAGCGUUAAUCGGAAUUACUGGGCGUAAAGCGCAUGCAGGUGGUUUGUUAAGUCAGAUGUGAAAGCCCGGGGCUCAACCUCGGAAUUGCAUUUGAAACUGGCAAACUAGAGUACUGUAGAGGGGGGUAGAAUUUCAGGUGUAGCGGUGAAAUGCGUAGAGAUCUGAAGGAAUACCGGUGGCGAAGGCGGCCCCCUGGCACAGAUACUGACACUCAGAUGCGAAAAGCGUGGGGAGACAAACAGGGAUUAGAUACCCUGGUAGCUCGAUGU